UGGCUCUCGCAUCGAUGAAGAACGCAGCGAAAUGCGAUAAGUAAUGUGAAUUGCAGAAUUCAGUGAAUCAUCGAAUCUUUGAACGCACCUUGCGCUCCUUGGUAUUCCGAGGAGCAUGCCUGUUUGAGUGUCAUUAAAUUCUCAACCUCUCUAGUUUUUAUUAACUAGUAGAUGGCUUGGAUUUGGGAGUUUGCAGGCUUUCACAAGUCAGCUCUCCUUAAAUGUAUUAGCCGGUGCUCUCUGACCGUCUAUUGGUGUGAUAAUUAUCUACGCCGUGGACUAUUAGACUUGUUGCGCUGCUUAUAAUCGUCUACUUUAGACAAUUAAUGACCAUUUGACCUCAAAUCAGGUAGGACUACCCGCUGA
rnacentral:misc_RNA from 1 species